GCGGGGAUAGCUCAGUUGGGAGAGCGUCAGACUGAAGUUCAACUUCGGUUAUCACGAAUAUUAAUCUGAAGGUCGUGCGUUCGAUCCGCACUCACCGCA